rnacentral:rRNA from 1 species
AGGUACGAUCAUACCAGCACUAAUGCACCGGAUCUCAUCAGAACUUCACAAUUAAGUGUGCGUGGGUGAUAGUAGUACUAGGAUGGGCGACCUCAUUAGAAGUCCUCGUGUUGCACAUU